AAUCAAACCGAUAUCAAACGGAAAUCCAGCCAAUAUAUUUUUAUAUUAGUUGCUCAAGUCCGGCUGCUGGGAACUUUGGACAUUACCACUGAGGUUUGUUCAAGUUAAAAUCUUGAAGAGAGCCUAACAGGAACCAUCAUCAAUAUCUUCAUGAAUAGCCAAGCUGCAGUUGAGGCCAAAACUUAUGGCAGGCUGCUGAGACUGUCGUCAGCAGCAGCUGCUGUUGCUAACUGUGCAGCCAAUAUACGAGGGGGAAAAGAAAUUGUCUGCUUCUCCUUCAGCGUACUAGUGCCCCUCAUCAUAAGGCUGACAUAUGAUUACCAGCUGGAAUAAUUGUUAAAUUUAUGACAAAUUAUAGUCGAUGAUGGGUAAUUAAACAAUAUACGCCAAAUGUUGCCAGACUGCACGUCCUACUGUUAAUUGCAACAUCAGAUUGUAUUGUGGCGAAACGAGCACGUCAAUGAGUGACAGCCAGUCUCAAGAUGGUGCGAGAGAGGAGGGGCUGGUGCUGGGCUUGCCACAGAGUUUGUGUGUCUCUGAGUGCGCCACACUUGGCAGCUUCUUAUGCCGAAAAUAAAAAAACAGAUUUUAUUUAUGGGCGCUGCACAACAGCAAAUUGAAAUUCAGAAACACGAAGGAAUCUCUUGAUCGGGGCGUUUUGCCAGAAGGGUUUGUCAUGCUCGUGCCACAUAUCCGCAUCCGCAUUCGCAUCCACAUUAACAUCAACAACCACAUCCACAUCUUCUCUCGAUGCUGGCAAACUUUGGAGCUGCAUUUGGCUGCCGCAUUUGCCACGCAGUUAUUGUUGCGCCUGGCCCAUUAUAUUGAAGUCGACAUCGUCAAGCAAGGCAGAAAUAGCUCCCAGGCCAAGGAUGACGAUGAUGUUGUUGAAGUUCCUCUGAAUGACGUACUUGCCACUUACAAAUAAUGGCCCGUCAGCCGUGAAAACUUGCAACAAAUUCAUAUCGCUGCGUUUUUGGCGGAUGCACCUUAAUCGCUAACCACAAGGUCAGCUAACAAAGAAAUUUUCAAGUCUGUAAACCCAACAAAACUUUUCAGUGGUUCGGCUUAAGGCUCGAGGCAAAGCCCAGCCUCGUUAUCCAAACCUUUGACAUUUAGGAGCCCAAGCUCGAACUCUGGCGCGUCACACUCAACUAAUCAAGUUUGGCUCGACGGAGUUUUGUCACAAACAAUAUAAACUGCCCUCGCUCAGCUGCGAACAUCAAUAUUUCAUUUGUAAUUGCAUUCAACUUAAGCUGUUUUCAUGUAUUUAAGCUUUAAAUUGUUGAAAUGCACAAUACGAAGGU